rnacentral:rRNA from 1 species
UCCUACGGGAGGCAGCAGUAAGGAAUAUUGGUCAAUGGACGCAAGUCUGAACCAGCCAUGCCGCGUGGAGGAUGAAGGUCCUCUGGAUUGUAAACUUCUUUUAUCUGGGAAGAAAACCAUGCAUUCUUGUGUGGUUGACGGUACCAGAUGAAUAAGCACCGGCUAACUCCGUGCCAGCAGCCGCGGUAAUACGGAGGGUGCAAGCGUUAUCCGGAUUCACUGGGUUUAAAGGGUGCGUAGGUGGGCAGGUAAGUCAGUGGUGAAAUCUCCGGGCUUAACUCGGAAACUGCCAUUGAUACUAUCUUUCUUGAAUAUCGUGGAGGUCAGCGGAAUAUGUCAUGUAGCGGUGAAAUGCUUAGAUAUGACAUAGAACACCAAUUGCGAAGGCAGCUGGCUACACGAAUAUUGACACUGAGGCACGAAAGCGUGGGGAUCAAACAGGAUUAGAUACCCUGGUAGUCCACGCCCUAAACGAUGGAUACUCGACAUACGCGAUACCCUGUGUGUGUCUGAGCGAAAGCAUUAUUUCCCGGCCCGGGAAAUUA